GACAGAGGUCCCGAGCGUUAGGCGGAAUCACUGGGCUUAAAGCGUGUGUAGGCGGAUUUGUAAGUACCUUGUGAAAUCCCACGGCUUAACCGUGGAACUGCUGGUAUACUGCGAAUCUUGGGCCAUCUAGGGGCUAGCGGAACAAACGGUGGAGCGGUGAAAUGCGUAGAUAUGUUUGGAACGCCAAUGGUGAAAACAGCUAGCUGGGGAUGAUGCCGACGCUGGAGACACGAAAGCCAGGGGAGCGAACGGG
rnacentral:rRNA from 1 species